CUAAGGCGGUAAAAUCUAGACCUGGAAUUAGAGGGUAGAAACGAGGAUUAGAUACCCUCUUAUUCUUCUAGCCAAGGUAGUAACUAGGUAUGUUCUUCAAACCUAAAGGAUUUGGCGGUGCUCUACCCCAUCAGAGGAACCUGCUGGCGAAAUUACGCGAUAAAUCUUGCCAGGGCGCUUGUAUACCGUCGUCUAGAUAAGAUUAGGAGAUUUUAUCACUCUUAUGGCAGAUCAAGGUGCAGCUUGCCCUGGGGUUACAAUCCAUAUGAAGUUGGAUUUGAAAGUAAGGCUUAUAAUGCCAGUGAAAAGGCAAUUGAGCAUGCACAUAUCGCCCGUCACUCUCA
rnacentral:rRNA from 1 species